UACAGAGGGCGCGAGCGUUGUCCGGAAUUAUUGGGCGUAAAGAGCGUGUAGGCUGUUCGGUAAGUCUGCCGUGAAAACCUGAGGCUCAACCUCGGGCGUGCGGUGGAUACUGCCGGGCUAGAGGACGGUAGAGGCGAGUGGAAUUCCCGGUGUAGCGGUGAAAUGCGCAGAUAUCAGGAAGAACACCCGUGGCGAAGGCGGUUCUCUGGGCCGGUACUGACACUGAGGAGCGAAAGCGUGGGUAGCAAACAGG
rnacentral:rRNA from 1 species